rnacentral:misc_RNA from 1 species
GAUGAAGAACGCAGCGAAAUGCGAUAAGUAGUGUGAAUUGCAGAAUUCAGUGAAUCAUCGAAUCUUUGAACGCACAUUGCGCCCCUUGGUAUUCCAUGGGGCAUGCCUGUUCGAGCGUCAUUUGUACCCUCAAGCUUUGCUUGGUGUUGGGUGUUUGUCCCGCGUUGCGCGUGGACUCGCCUUAAAGCGAUUGGCAGCCGGCAUAUUGGCCUUGGAGCGCAGCACAUUUUGCGCUUCUAGUCAUGAAUGUUGGCGUCCAUUAAGCCUAUACAUUUGCUCUUGACCUCGGAUCAGGUAGGGACACCCGCUGAACUUAAGCAUAUCAAUAAGCGGAGGA